rnacentral:rRNA from 1 species
GAUGAACGCUGGCGGCGUGCCUAAUACAUGCAAGUCGAGCGAAUGGAUUAAGAGCUUGCUCUUAUGAAGUUAGCGGCGGACGGGUGAGUAACACGUGGGUAACCUGCCCAUAAGACUGGGAUAACUCCGGGAAACCGGGGCUAAUACCGGAUAACAUUUUGAACCGCAUGGUUCGAAAUUGAAAGGCGGCUUCGGCUGUCACUUAUGGAUGGACCCGCGUCGCAUUAGCUAGUUGGUGAGGUAACGGCUCACCAAGGCAACGAUGGGUAGCCGACCGUAGAGGAUGAUCGGCCACACUGGGACUGAGACACGGCCCAGACUCCUACGGGAGGCAGCAGUAGGGAAUCUUCCGCAAUGGACGAAAGUCUGAAGGAGCAACGCCGCGUGAGUGAUGAAGGCUUUCGGGUCGUAAAACUCUGUUGUUAGGGAAGAACAAGUGCUAGUUGAAUAAGCUGGCACCUUGACGGUACCUAACCAGAAAGCCACGGCUAACUACGUGCCAGCAGCCGCCGUAA